rnacentral:sRNA from 1 species
UUGUAGUGCCGCGAGUUGAGCUCCUCUUGCCUAAGUGGUCGCGCCCCCUUUAAGAGCAGCGAUUGGAAGGCGAGGCGGUCCCGGUGUCCUCGGGUCCCAGGUGAUUGUGAAGUGCUGACCAGUUGCCACUGGACAUACUUGAAACAAAAUAGGAAAAUGGCAGCAAACUCUUCAGGACAAGACAAGGUCUCGCUGUGUUGCCCAGGCUGAUCUUGAACUCCUGGCCUCAGGUGAUCCUCCUGCCUCAGCUUCCCAAAGCACUAGGAUUACAAAUGUUUUCAAAACAAAAAUAGAGUUGCAAUCUUGGCAGAACUGGACAAAGAGAAAAGAAAACUACUUAUGCAGAACCAGUCUUCAACAAAUCAUCCUGGAGCUAGCAUGCUCAUGCACAUUCAUCUGGAUACUUCAUCACUCAAGACUCUGCAUUUGGGAACCUUAUUCUUCCUGUUUUACCUCGCCUUGACCCAGAAUGAAGAAAACAUUUGCGAUGGAAAAGUGACUUUGUAAUAUCAAAUGCCAAAGCUACUAUCAUUCAGUGCUACAUGAACUGUGACUUUAAGAAUUUUGGUGAACUUUGAUAUUUUUUGUUUGUCUGAAAGAAAGGAAUGUAUAAGUGAAAGCAGAAAGAAGAGUAACCAGGAUGAUGAGAGUUGUGGAAGCUGUAUCUUCCAAGGAAUUGAUUAUGUACCGUGACGGUAACUUUUUUGUAAUGCUGUUUAACUCUCAAUCAGACUCUGAACUGGAUGGUCACGAAGUCAUUCCCCAACUCCUAGCAAGUUUGACUGAAUAUAUCAUGUCCACAGUAGAUUUUCAAGAAUCAUUUAUAGUACUUAACUUUAAAGAAACAAGGGUGCUUUUAAAAAAUGAACCGAUAGGCUU